CAGGUGGGUCACUCAGCAGCAAUAUGGAGUCUGUUUUGCUAACUAGGGUCCUUCACAAGUAACAAACCUUGCUCUACAAAAUCAAAUACAUUGCUCCAUCACUCUAUCAUUGUACACUCGAUUGUAAAAGUGGGCGCCAAAAUUUUACUUUCAUUUCCAUCUCCUCUUCUGGACAUCAUUCUUGGGAGGAAAUCACUGCAUCUUACUCACUUUGUUGACAAGAAAGUGACUAUCACAUCAUCUGUGCCCAAUAUUUACCAGCUGAUGAAUUUGGAACAGCCAUGUGCCAAGCAACAGCAGAUGCAGCACCAGCAAUAACAGAUCAGAGCCAUAGUAUUGGAAAUUCGUGAGAUCCAAAAUUAUAGAUGAAGGAAGAAUAGCAGACCAAAAAUAGAUGGAAGAGAAUUGCAAGAGAAGUGGAUUUGCUUUGAAAAUCUGAAUCCCAGGUAAAUGUAAUUUAAGCAUCCUUU
rnacentral:lncRNA from 1 species